GAUGAACGCUGGCGGCGUGCCUAAUACAUGCAAGUCGAGCGAACAGACGAGGAGCUUGCUCCUCUGACGUUAGCGGCGGACGGGUGAGUAACACGUGGAUAACCUACCUAUAAGACUGGGAUAACUUCGGGAAACCGGAGCUAAUACCGGAUAAUAUAUUUAACCGCAUGGUUCAAUAGUGAAAGACGGUUUUGCUGUCACUUAUAGAUGGAUCCGCGCCGCAUUAGCUAGUUGGUAAGGUAACGGCUUACCAAGGCAACGAUGCGUAGCCGACCUGAGAGGGUGAUCGGCCACACUGGAACUGAGACACGGUCCAGACUCCUACGGGAGGCAGCAGUAGAGAAUCUUCCGCAAUGGGCGAAAGCUUGACGGAGCAACGCCGCGUGAGUGAUGAAGGUCUUCGGAUCGUAAAACUCUGUUAUUAGGGAAGAACAAAUGUGUAAGUAACUAUGCACGUCUUGACGGUACCUAAUCAGAAAGCCACGGCUAACUACGUG
rnacentral:rRNA from 1 species